CCGGCACGGGUGAGUAACGCGUAUGCAACUUGCCUAUCAGGAGGGGAUAACCCGACGAAAGUCGGACUAAUACCGCAUGAAGCAGGGGCCCCGCAUGGGGAUAUUUGCUAAAGAUUCAUCGCUGAUAGAUAGGCAUGCGUUCCAUUAGGCAGUUGGCGGGGUAACGGCCCACCAAACCGACGAUGGAUAGGGGUUCUGAGAGGAAGGUCCCCCACAUUGGAACUGAGACACGGUCCAA
rnacentral:rRNA from 1 species